rnacentral:rRNA from 1 species
GAAUUCACUAGUGAUUCAGGCCUAACACAUGCAAGUCGAACGGCAGCACGGACUUCGGUCUGGUGGCGAGUGGCGAACGGGUGAGUAAUAUAUCGGAACAUACCCAGUAGUGGGGGAUAACUAUCCGAAAGGAUAGCUAAUACCGCAUACGAUCUGUGGAUGAAAGCAGGGGAUCUUCGGACCUUGUGCUAUUGGAAUGGCCGAUAUCUGAUUAGCUAGUUGGUAGGGUAAAAGCCUACCAAGGCGACGAUCAGUAGCUGGUCUGAGAGGACGACCAGCCACACUGGGACUGAGACACGGUCCAGACUCCUACGGGAGGCAGCAGUGGGGAAUUUUGGACAAUGGGGGCAACCCUGAUCCAGCAAAGGCGCGCGAGUGAAGAAGGCCCUCGGGU